rnacentral:tRNA from 1 species
UGGGGUGUAGUUCAACGGUUAGAACGAAUGACUGUUAAUCAUUAGACCAGGUUUCAACUACCUGCUCCCCAG